rnacentral:rRNA from 1 species
GGACUACCAGGGUUUCUAAUCCCGUUCGCUCCCCCAGCUUUCGCGCCUCAGCGUCAAGAAUGCCCCAGGAGACCGCCUUCGCCACUGGUGUUCCUACCGAUAUCUACGCAUUUCACCGCUACACCGGUAAUUCCAUCUCCCCCUAGCACCUUCAAGACCGAGAGUAUCCACCGACCCUCCGGGGUUGAGCCCCGGGCUUUCACAGCGGACUGCUCGACCCGCCUACGCGCGCUUUACGCCCAGUAACUUCGGACAACGCUCGCCCCCUCCGUAUUACCGCGGCGGCUGGCAC